rnacentral:rRNA from 1 species
GGGGGAAAAUUAAUAAAUUAAAUUUAAUAAAAAAAAUUUUAAUAUUAAAAAGAAAAUGGGGGUUUGAGUAUUUUUAAUAGAAAAAAUUAAUAGUUUUAUAGUUAAAUAUUACUGUAAAGGAAUUUAUAAAUAAAUGAAAUAUAAUUAAUGAAAAAGUAAAUUUAAAUUAUUGUAUCUUGUGUAUCAGAGUUUAUUAAAUAAUAAUAAUUUAUUUAAAUAAAUCUCGAAUUUAAAAGAGUUAAUUAAUUAAAAAAGUUAAUGUUGUAUAAUUAUUUUAAAUAAUUAAUUAGAAAUGAAAUGUUAAUCGUUUUUAAAUAUAUCUAGUUUUUUCAGAAAAAAAUUUAAUUUUAAAUUUAAAUAAUUUUAUAAUUAUUUAAUUAAUUAUAAAAAUUUAAAUUUUAAUAUUUUAGGGGAUAAGCUUUAAAUUAAAAAUUUAUAAUUAAAAAUAUUUAAAAUUAAAAUUUUUAAAAUUUAUAUUGUUUAAAAAUUAUAGUUUAUUAUAAAAAAUUUUAUUAAAAAAUAAAAUUUAAAAUAAAAAAAUUUAAAUUUUUAUGAAAAAAUAAUUUAUAAUUCAAUAAAAUUAGAAAUAAUGAUAAAAUUAGUAUAAUAUAAUAAAUUAAAAAAAAAAAUUAUAAAUAAUUAAAUUAAAGGAAUUCGGCAAAAAUUUAUAUUCACUUGUUUAUCAAAAACAUGUCUUUUUGAUAAUAAUUUAAAGUCUAAUCUGCCCACUGAUAUUAUAUUAAAGGGCUGCAGUAUAUUGACUGUACAAAGGUAGCAUAAUCAUUAGUCUUUUAAUUGAAGACUUGUAUGAAAGAUUUGAUGAAAUAUAAACUGUCUCUAAUUUAUGAUUAGAAAUUAAUUUUUUAGUUAAAAAGCUAAAAUAACAUUAAAAGACGAGAAGACCCUAUAGAGUUUUAUAUUUUAUUUAAUUAAUAUUAAAUAUAUAAUUAAAUAUAUUAAUUAAGUGAAAUAUUGUGUUGGGGUGAUAGAAAAAUUUAAUAAACUUUUUUUAAAUUUUAACAUAAAUAAGUGGUUAAUUGAUCCAUUAAUAAUGAUUAAAAGAAAAAAUUACCUUAGGGAUAACAGCGUAAUAUUUUUUUUUAGUACAUAUAAAAAAAAAAGUUUGCGACCUCGAUGUUGGAUUAAGAUAAAAUUUAAAUGCAAAAGUUUAAAAUUUUGAUCUGUUCGAUCAUUAAAAUCUUACAUGAUCUGAGUUCAAACCGGUGUAAGCCAGGUUGGUUUCUAUCUUUAAUAAAAAAAAAUAUUUUAGUACGAAAGGAUCAAAUAUUUAAAAUAAUUUUAUAAUAAUGAAUAUUAAUAAUAUAGUUUA